UUCUGGAAAGUUGAUGUGGCGCGGAUCCUUGCAAUUCCGUUACUUGAAUUUGAUAUGUUAGACCUUGUAGCAUGGAACUUGUGCAAAAAUGGGAUUUUCUCAGUGAGAUCGGCAUACUUUGCGGAGUGGCACGACCAAUAUGGACAUAAAAUAUCAUGAGAAAAUACAGUCGGACCCUCAUGGAAUUCACCAAUAUGGGGGUCGAUCUGGAGCUUAAGUUGUCCUGGCAAGGUUAAAAUUUUCCUCUGGCAAACUUUGUUAGGAUCGCUUCCAUGUCGAGUGACUUUGGCUAACAGACAUAUAAAAGUCAGUGCGCAAUGUCCUACAUGCAGUAUAGGAACGUAGGAUACCAAGCACAUGUUGUUCACUUGUGCAAAAGCUGAAGAGGUAUGAGGGUUACUUGGUUUGGACUUUGCUAUUGAUAAAGCAUGUGUUGUGGAUCAUGUGGGAGAAGUUGUGCUAGAAUAUUUAUUGCUACAACCAGUUGAAGAUGUGGUCCUCGGUCUGGGAAAUUGAAUGGAAGCAAUUGCUAUUGUUUCCUGGUAUUUAUGGUGGGAGAGGAGAAAGUUAGUGCAUAAUGAAAAGAUCCGAAAACCUAAAUUCAUAGCAAUAGCAAUCAGAGAUUUGGUUGCUAAUUAUACUAUGGCGAGUGAUGCAAAGGCGGCGAUCAAGCAACAUGGCUGGGAAAGACCAAGGGGCAACUAUGUGAAGCUAAACGUGGAUGGAGCUUUUUACCUAGACUUACCCAAGGCUCGUAUGGCGUUGUCAUCAGAGACUCAAAUGGUAGAUUUGUCGCGGUAG
rnacentral:rRNA from 1 species